GUGGGGAAUCUUGGACAAUGGGCGCAAGCCUGAUCCAGCAAUGCCGCGUGCAGGAAGAAGGCCUUCGGGUUGUAAACUGCUUUUGUACGGAACGAAACGGUCCGGGUUAAUACCCUGGGCUAAUGACGGUACCGUAAGAAUAAGCACCGGCUAACUACGUGCCAGCAGCCGCGGUAAUACGUAGGGUGCGAGCGUUAAUCGGAAUUACUGGGCGUAAAGCGUGCGCAGGCGGUGCUGUAAGACAGGCGUGAAAUCCCCGGGCUCAACCUGGGAAUGGCGCUUGUGACUGCAAAGCUGGAGUGCGGCAGAGGGGGAUGGAAUUCCGCGUGUAGCAGUGAAAUGCGUAGAGAUGUGGAGGAACACCGAUGGCGAAGGCAGCCUCCUGGGAUGACACUGACGCUCAUGCACGAAAGCGUGGGGAGCAAACAGGAUUAGAUACCCUGGUAGUCC
rnacentral:rRNA from 1 species